UACAGAGGGGGCAAGCGUUAUUCGGAAUUAUUGGGCGUAAAGGGCGCGUAGGCGGCUUUGCAAGUGGCGGGUGAAAUCCCUCGGCUUAACCGAGGAACUGCCUGCCAGACUGUGAGGCUUGAGACCGGGAGAGGUGAGUGGAAUUCCCAGUGUAGCGGUGAAAUUCGUAGAUAUGGGGAGGAACACCGGUGGCGAAGGCGGCCACCUGGACGGUAACUGACGCUGAGACGCGAAAGCGUGGGGAGCAAACAGG
rnacentral:rRNA from 1 species